GCUCAGGAGCCCGGCGGUGCGAACCUAUGAACCUUGUCAGGACCGAAAGGCAGCAGCAAUAAGUAGAAUUUCGCAGGUGUCCGGGAUUUCCUGAGCCUU
rnacentral:SRP_RNA from 1 species